AUGCCUCAACUUGAUAAAUUAACUUAUUUCUCACAAUUCUUCUGGUUAUGUCUUCUCCUCUUUACUUUUUAUAUUCUCUUAUUUAAUAAUAAUAAUGGAAUACUUGGAAUUAGUAGAAUUCUCAAACUACGGAACCAACUGCUUUCGCACCGGGGGGGCGAGAUCCGGAGCAAGGACCCUAAGAAUCUGGAAGAUAUCUCGAGAAAAGGUUUUAGCACCGGUCUCUCAUAUAUGUACUCCAGUUUAUCCGAAGUAUCCCAAUGGUGUAAGACCGUCGACUAUUUGGGAAAUAAGAUAUCUUCUUCAAUCUUUCUAUACUAUCUUAGGGGCGUCCUUUGCCCAAUUUGCCUCUUAUUUUUUAAAUUUCUUAUUUCUUUCGCCUUCACCUGUGCACUUAUUUAUGUAUUCAAGGGGGGGGGGGUUUCGUGGCUAUGGCUGCUACAAACGGAGCCUCUUCUU
rnacentral:rRNA from 1 species